GCUGAUCUAGAGCAACUACUGCCGUGCUUCUACUUUGUGUGUCGCCGGGAGUCGAGAGCUCGAGAAGGCGACAGAGGGCAGCAGUGAUUCGGCAGUGGGAUUUAAGAUUCAUUUCGCUGGUAGUGUAUCGGGGUUCCACAGCAGCUGUGAUUUUUCCGGCCAUAAUUUUCAGCAACAUCCUUGCUGUGAGAAGUGAGGACUUGACGCGAGACGAGUAUCU